GUAUAAAGUGCAAAAAAAUGAAGCAAAGCUGGGAAAUUAUAGGAUAAAGCCAAGAUAAAAGGAGAGCAACAGCCGAAGGGCCUUAUACUUAAGCUAUGAUUGACAGAGCCUUGCUUUUUUUCUGGGUAGGUGAAACCAUGGAAGGCCUCAAAUGUUUUUGGCUGUAAGGCAGGGAAAAACUACAAGAGGCAUUACAGAUGAAUAAGUGAAGUUGGAUUACUUGUAACAGGACUUCUUCAAGAUGAGACUGCAUAUUAUGGGUAUUGCACUUGAUGUCCCCUUUGAUUCCUUCCCUCAGCAUCUCUGAACAGAGUGAGGGCGAGGCACAGGACACAUGUGAAAAAUAUAAAAACCACUCAGGUUUGUGUCUGAUAGAAGGAGAUUGGUCAACUCCUGCCUUUUAACAGCCUAGCAGGCUGCAGCAGGCCAUUGAGAAUUGGUAAAGAUAUCCUGCUCUUGGAGGUAUCCCCAAGAAUGUCAAACACUGGAUGGGAGGUCUCCUCCAUGGCUACUGAAGGUAAAUUCAAUAUGGAUGCUGUGUGACCCACCAGGCCAUGGAACUGUAGAGCGUCCUCAGAAUGGAAAGAGGCAGACGCUCAUCUGGUGAUAAAUCAGGUUUGUAGUCUCUCUCAGCGCUUUUUGAACAAGACCAUACAAUCUCCUCAUCUUCCUCUUUCGAUAGAGUAUCAGGUGCCACUGCCUGAGAUGCAGAUGGAUCCAAUGGAACUGGGUCCAGGGAUUCUCAGCUGCCAGAUUCACUACAGGUGAAACAUCCCUUCUCCAUCUACAAGGAUAACAACUUACAAAUUCCUGUAGGAGCACCCCAUUAUAGAGCCCAGGACUGCCGCUCCCCAGCAACUUGGAUCUGGGAACAAAUCCACAGGAGGAGGAGGAGCAAAAGGAGGCAUGAACCAGGAGGAAUCCGUUCUCUUCCUCCUUUAUCCUCCUCUAAACAUGGAUCCAGCCUUGGCUCUGCGCUAGACCACACAGAUGAGAGCAAUGGUCCUAGAGCGUGGAGAGAAAUAAACAGGGAGAAAGCUUUUCAUGGAGACUGUAGGAGACUGGAGGAGGAAGUCUAGACAGAUCAGAGGAGAGGCUAAUAAUCUCCUGCUCUUCUCCUUUUUUCAGGUGAAGACAAACGUUAGCCUCUCUCUUCCUCAAGAUCCUCUAUUUCUUACUCAGAUCAGAAGAAUGCUCAGAAGCCAAACAGUGAAUAUCUGCCACUAAAGUAAGGGUCCACAUAAGAUUUGAAGAGGGACCCAGAACCAGAGCAGAGGUUGGAGCUGAAGAGCAGGAUAGUGCAGGAGCCAAUGAAAUACCACUGGUUCUCAAAGUUGAAGCUGAAACAGGAUUGGGUUUUGGAGCUGAGCCAAGGGGCCCAUGACAGAGUUGGACGGAUCCAACAAAUCUGAACGCAUGUGAUCUGGCAUUCUAACAGCCUAACCCUGAAGAAGAGCUCUGUAUAGCUUGAAAGCUUGUCUCUCUCACCAAUAGAAGAUGGUCCAACAAAAGAUAUCGUGUCCCUCACCUUGUCACAUCUAACAGUGUCUGUCUUCUCCUCUUCUCCCUUACUGCCUUUUUUGGAACCGACACAGCUGGAGCAAACGUGGUUGUAAGUUCAAAGGCAGGUGGUUUGGCCUUUCUCCACCAACAGUGCCUUCAAAACUCUGACUGCCUGAGCCACAGGAUCUGGAGUAGGACCCAAGAAAGUUCCAGUUUCCUGGAACCUUUGAGGUGCUUUGACUUGCUGGAAGAAGUCACAGGAGCCAAAGCAGGUGUCUCAGGCCUUGGAUCAGAUGAGUGCCUGGAGCCUUAUAUCCCUCUUUAAGGAGAAGCACUUACAAUCUUUUCUGCCUCUCCUGGCGAGGUCUGGGCAUGAAAAUUCAACAGAUGAAACAUGCAGGAGAGUGUUCCUUGUCCAAGCAGUUCAGGUACCUAAUGUGAUCAUCCAACGCCAGGAAAACAGCCAGGCAUGAAGCACACCUCUUGAAUCUCAGCUCCUUCAGUUCCACCAUCACCCAGAACUGAAAUACCAGCUAAUUCAACUCUCUCUACUUAGCUGUAGUUUAUAGUUUACUGAUAUCAAGACACUAAGAAUGAAGAAAAGCCUGGAUCUGAAUGGACCAGAGCGGUUCAUUUUAUUUUGUCACAGCAGUUGGGAAUAACUGAAGUAGUAGAGGGGGCUGUGACCCACAUAUAACCUCCCUCUCAGAAUGUUCAGGGGUGCUGAGGGGAGCUGCAGCAGGGGGCACAAGUGCUCUAACGGUAAGAACUGGUUGCACACGGUUCUACCAUGAGGCACCACUAGGCAGUGUAAUACCCAGAUGUGGGAAUAUACAGAUCCACUUGAAUAACUUUCCCACUUAUCCUCAUUUUGCAGAUGGAGAAAGACAUUUAGAGGUUGAGGGCAGAAGUCCUAAAAGCACACAAGUGACUUAAGAGCUUAAAUUCUAUUGUCAAAAGAGCUGGUCCACGAACACAAAACUGGUUUGGUUUGGGAUAGUUAAAUUGGUACAAACCUUAGUGUGCAUUCAGUUUUACCAGUAAAAAAAGGUGCCUUAUAUUGGUAUAGCUUAUUGCUGUAUAGGAAGCGGAAUAAGCUAUAAGCACUUUUAUUAUUUGUAUUACUGUAGCACCUAGCAGCCCUAGUCAACCCGUAAGUGGGUUGCACUGUUUUAGCUGUACCAAUAUAGUUACAGCGCUACAGUGUGUGCAAACUCUUGUUCCACUGAGUUUCACUGGGACUUAAGCUCAAUCUUCAAAACUGACAAACAUUUAAGGGCCUAAGGUGCUUUUGACAUUUUACUCAUGGCUACAUUGUGGGUUUUUUUGGUUUUGUUUUGUAUUUUUAACCUACUAAAAUCUUAGUGUGGACAAGGCAAGUUGCAGAUUUAACACAUUAGUUGGUUGAAGAAAACUAGAAGGUCGCUCCUAGGACUUGCCAGGUAACAUGUAGGAAUUGCAUUUUGCCUUGUACACACUAGGAUUUUAACACAUUAAAAAAAAAAUUCUUAGGAAAGCCAAGGCCUACUUAAGGUGUCACAGAGGAAGUAAGAGCCGGAACCAGGAUUAAAACUCUUUUCUGAGUAGGGGGCUACCUGAACUAUAGUGCAUCUCAGGCAAGUCACUUAAUUUGCCAAUUUAAGGGUUUUUGUGGCUGUAGUACUAAGGUAGAGUUUUAUUGCAUAGAGAGGGUAUGCAAAAUAAGGGAACUGCUGCAGGUGAAUUACCCUCCCUCCCGUUUCCCAAACUGUAAACUUCAUCCACCACACUCUUUCCCAUCAGAAAAGUUUAGAAUAUAAAUGUCCCACUUCAAUUUUGCUUAAAGCAACAGCUUAUGUGAACCGGAUGCACUUAAAAAAAAAAAAGGGGGGGGGGCUAAUUAAAUCCAAUGUAGUUAUUCUGAUGCAAGUUUGUGGGUAACCAGCCCUUAAAAUGCCCCCAUCUUUUUCUGCUCAGAAUUACUAAAAUUAGCUUAUUCUUCACGUUCAUUCUAGUUUCUGUUCCCCCAAGAAAAAAUUUCUCCUACAGCUAUUUAAGACUGCCUCAAUGUCUUCUUAACCACUAGUCUCAUCCCCCUGCUUAGCUAUUACUUCCACACAUUACUAUACUCAUUCCUUCUGGCUCCCAGCUUUUCAAAAAUGUCAGGACUUGUGAGCAGGGGCAUAGGUCAUGCUGUGCAGGAGGUCCAGGGAGAGGAUACACUAGAAUUUGACUUUGUCCCUUUGUUUUGCUCUCCUCCAUCACUGGUUUAAAGGGUUGUAUCCUCAGAAGAUUUUCUUACAGCAUACUGGGUAGAAAGAGGUUACAUUUGCAAAUGAUAUUGAAGCUGCUCUAUCCAAGACAGAGAUUGUUUUAGCCAUUCAUGGCCACGCUAGGAACAUCUUACAUGCUGUUAACAGCUGUUGGAAGAGUAGCUGUGGAGACCGUACAAUGUGAGAAAGACAACACCAGAAUUCCUGAAAUAGUCCUUGGACAUGGGGAUUAGAACUUCAGUAGGACUAGCCCUGUUCUAAAGGUACAUAUGUGCAUCUAGAUGGCACCAUCUGUUUCAUUAAAUGUAAGAAAACCCAUGUCAUAAUGAAAGGUAAAGGUUGGCUCAAUAAAAUGCCAACCCUAACAUAGAGUGCUAUUAGCAAAUGCUCUACUGCAUAAUCUUGGGCUUUGACUCCACUUGAAACGGUGAUGGUUACAGAUACCAUGCAGCUCCAUGCAAAUAAUUCCAGUUUUUUCAGACAAGUCAUUGCAAAUGAGUACAAAACCAAUGUUUUCAACAUACCACAUUCUUGAUGACCUCAUCUUUGCCAUCAUGCUUUUGUACUUUCAGUAAAUGGUAGCAGAAAUCCAAAACAUCAAAGCGACGCUGCUGUCCCAAAAGCACAAUGAUCAUACAGCCAGCCCAGUGCAGCCCAUCUCCAAAGCACUGUCUGUAAUAGAGUACAAAGUCUAUGAAAAUUGUAUAUUUCACCUAAAACUCCCAAGAACCAGUUAGCAUGAACUAUUGAGUCAUCGGACAUUUUCUCCUCAAAAAAUAGGAGUCUAAAAACCACGCAUAAGAUGUUUUCCAGGCUGAGGUUUAAAACCCUCUCAUUUAGGAUCAUUCUCUAUUAAAUGAACAAUAUUUAGAAACUGCAAGCACUAGAAAUGCUGAAAAUCUUUAUCCAAUUUUAAGUUCUUCCAAAAAUAUUUGCUCCCCAUUACUCUGCAGCAGUGCUACUGUCACAUUAACCAACAGAACAAACUGACAGUGCCACACCACCACAUUUAUUUGGUCUCUGUGGAUUAAGGGGAGCAAUGUCCUAAGACUUCCCAUCAACAACUGGCCAAUGACAGGCAAAUUAUAGCUCAAUCUUUCCUUCUGAAAACUGACAAACAUAAUGCAAAAAACUAAAGAAUUGAAGAUUGCAGGACACUAACUUCUGAAUUCUCAUUCCUGCUGCUAACCCACAGAAAAUAAGCAAGUACCUGGUAAAUUGCUUAUAAAAGUUAUUUUACUUAAAUUCAGCAACCAUAGUGGGGUAAGCAUCACUGGUGUUGAGAGGUGUACGCUAGGAUCUCUUCCUUAUGGGACCUUCUAUUAUGUACCAACGUAUUUAAAAUACAUGAUUUUUAAAAGAUACAAUUAAUAUCUGUGUUCCUGUGCUCAAUCCCUUGUUCUUUGUUCUGGGCUUGCCUCACUGAGCUAUGUCAGAAAUAUGAACACCAGCAUUAUGUUUUGUAUCCCCACUUCUAGCUGGGAAAUACAAUAAAGUUCUGUUGCAAACAAAUGCAUAAUUGGAAGCCCACGAUACAUACUCCACAGUAAACUCGUGUGUUCCCACAGGAAUGCAGUACACAAACUGCAUUGCACUCCAGAGACGGUGAAAUUCCACACAUUCAUCCACAUGCAUCACACCAUUGCUGGGAAGGGGGCCACGCCAGAUUGGGUCAUCCAGGAAGGUCCGAAUCCUGGUCAAGAUGACCUCAAACAUGGAUAGGCCACAGCAGAGGCGUUCCUUGGUCAGCAAAUCUCCUUCCCUGGCUAUUGCAAUUUGCUAAGAUUGAGAGGAGGAAAUAAAAAGUAAAUGAAACAGCAUUUCAGAUUAGUUAUGGGGGAGGUGUGGUUUGUUUGAAAACCUUAUAUUAGUGCAGGACGAAGGUCUAUAAGGGUGUUAUGCUGAUCUGAAAACACAGCAAAGAAAACCCUACAGCAAGAUGCCUGUGCCAGCCAACUUCUGGGGCUCAGGCUGCAGGGCAGUUUCAUAGCUGUGUAGACUUCUGGGCUCAGGCUGGAGCAAAGCUCUGGGGCCCUUCCACCCAGACGUCUACACAGCAGUGAAACAGCCCCACAGCCUGAGUCCUGUGAGCCCGAGUCGGCUGACACGGGCCAGCCGUGGGUUUUAAUUUGCUGUGUAGACACACUCCAAGAGUGCUGUAAAACAGUUUACCUGCAUGCCCCAAUUCCAGUUCUGCACUUCGCCUUGGAGCAGAUUCAUUCAAGUGAAUUCAGACUGAGUUGUUUAAACAAAAGUAGUAUUACUAGCUGGGUCACUAGUUUUGACUCUUCUUUUUGAACCAGUGCUUUUAAGGUCUCCUGGAGUCAAGGGUCAAGUGAAAGAUGGAAGCCAGAAAACACCAACAAUGAAAUAUCUGCGUUAAUUUUUUCACCCGCUCAAUGGAAGAGAAGUUUUUAAAGGCUUUCUGAGUGGAAAGGUCAGACGCUGCUGUACUGCGCCAAGGUUUGCAAGGUUGGUUUUUGUUUGUUUGUUUUUUUUUUAACUGAAAUGAGUCAGAAGACAAAAAUUGGUGUGUGCUGUUUUCUGCUGGCAGGCCCAGGUAAUGGUCCCUCCCUCACUUAUUGCUGAUUCCCUGGCCUGCUGCUAUCAGAAGCUGAUGUGCUUCAAAGUGAGCAUGAAGAGAUCUGUACAGCUGUAGUAAACCGAGAUUUAUAAUCAAUACUUGCUCUCUCUAUAUUGUACCAGCUUAUGCCCUCCCAUUGUAAGUUCUCUGCGGUAGGGACUGUUGCUUGCUCAGCACAGCUCACCGAACUCUACCCAUGGUGCUAAAGGUAGUCUGAACUCUAUAGUUGACAUCAUUCCCUUUUGGCCCCCCAAAUCCCUGUCUCUCAAGUACAAGGAGUCAGCUGUUGAAGCAAAUGGGGAAUGAAACACACUCUACAAGGACACAGAGGAGAACGGCCUCUGGACAGCAAGAGCAGCUCACUGACAAGGCAUUGAGGAGGAAGAAUGUUCUCUGUUGGUAAUGAAUUUUCCAGGAAAGCUCAGAUCAAAUAGAACAGUUGGUUUCCAAAAAGGUUCUGAUUUUAUCCAAUUUGUUCACUAAAAUCACAAGAGAACAAAUGACUUUUUUAAAAGGUCACAGAGCAAAUCAGUUGCUUUUGGUGGAAUUUGAACUGGGAGCCCCUUGGGUGCAAAUCCUUUGCUUUACACAUUAUAUCACAAUAGUGUGCAUGGAAAUUAACACUUUAAUCCUCUCCCAAAACCUAAAAUGUCACCUCUGCACUGUCCCAAACAUUCAGACAAUAAGCCACCUGUGCACACAAGCUGCUGAUCAACUUUACUGAAUCCAUGGAUUUACUAGAGGCCCCAUUGUGUGAACAAUUUUUGUGUGACAUUUGUAAUUCUGACAUUGUAAGGGUCUCAGGUUUCUUGUGCACUGAUAUUUCUGCAUAAAAUGUCUGGGGCACAAAAUGUAGGACAUUACCUGGGGUGUUCCUAAUCUUUCAAUCAGAGGAACAAGAUGGAGUGGAGCAUAUUUUGAUUCUAGUCUUUUCAUUUUAGCAUCAAGUCUUUCACCCUCUGAAAGAGAGAAAAAAAAACAACCCACGUUAUCCUUUAAAGUUAGGUGACUUCACUUUAUAAACAAAGAACAUUGCUGUACAGAAAUUCGUGGUUUUAUUGCAGUUUAUUUUUGUCACAGUAGGAGUUGUGUAAAUUAUUCCUUUGAUUGGUAAUUUCAUUCAAAAUGGCUUGCUUUUUCUUCAGUAUGCAUUUUAUUUGAUGCAUAGUAUCCACUGACAGGUUUAUUCCUUUAACAAUGUUACAUUAUACAUUCAAGUUUAAAGAAACUAACUAUACAGGCAAAAACUAGUAGUGAAACUCGUUUUGUUAUUAACUCAUUUCUGCCCUCAAAAUAAGGCUCUUAUGCUGUCUAUAACAUACAUUGACCCCCAUGCAUACUGAGACAAUUAAAAUCACCCUUAUCACAUGCAAAAUACUUGCCUCCAGAGGAUGGGGUUAUACUGAAGGUGUUUUAUAUAUGGAAAGGUUAAAAAAAAACCCACCAAAAAACCCCAACACUCACCACUAGUGAGUAGGAAAUGUUCUCUGGUGAUUGGGUGAACAAAAUUUGCAAUGCUCUGGUUAGUCAGAUGGCUGUCUACAGGGAUUUGAGUAACUGCAAUAAAUCUGAUAAGGCUCUUUCACUUUGUUAUGUAUGUGAAUCCUAUGCGCAGAGGCAAAGAUAGAUCUGCUGCUGCUGGUAGUGGGGCAGAAGUAGGAAAAGAGGGCCACCAAAAAAAAAAAAGAGCGGUAGAAGGAUAAAAUGGGGAACGGAAGCAGCUCACCUUCCAGCAGUCAGGAAGGAGAGAAGAGAAGAUAGACUGGAAGGAACAAAUCCUGCAAGGUAAUUCAGCAAAGCAUUUAAGCAUGUGAAAAGUCUGUGGCAACCACGCACGUGGUUGUGCUUUGCUGGAUCAGAGAGACAGUACUCAGCACCUUGCAGGAUCCAGCCCUACUCCCCAUCCCCAAGUUUAUUUUGCACACCUACAAGCCAAGGCUGAUACGAAGGAUGGGACCUCACAGCAAGUCCAGCAUUCUCCAACCUCAUCACCAAGUGGGGAUGAGGCAGCGGUGGGCAUAUCACCAGUGAGCUGCACAGAGCAUUCUCGAUCACCCCACCCCCAGGAGCCCUGGUUACAGGCUUAGGCCUCCUGCUUUUCUGUGUCCUGUACAAUUUUCAGGCUUGCAGAUACUCAGGAAUUUGCUGUCGUUGCAAAUGAAUAGUGCUUGUGUAAAGAAAGUUUCAGAAUGAUGAAUUCACCAACAAGGAAGCAACAACGGGGGUAAUACUGCUGGAGAACAAAUGCUCGUCCAGCCCAUACCUUUGACAUGAACCCUUGGUAAUAUAUUCUGGAACGGUGCAGCAUGCAACAGGUCACAAACUUCCUCUAGCGACUACAACAAAAAGAAACAAGAAGCAUUUAGGAGUAAAAAAACAACAGCAUGUCAAGGGCACCAAAAUCUGCUUCUAAAACCAUGCUGACAUUCUAAAACAAAUAGCGGCUGACACCAGAGGGCACCAAGCAUCUACAGUUAGAACAAACACAUGCUGCUUUUGGCUCCCUUUUCACAGAAGUACUUAGCAGCAAUUUGGCUUUUGCAGGUUACCUUGGAUUCACAAAGAUUUACAGCAACUCUACCCACCCAGAGGUUGGCAGUUCUUAAAGGACAGAGGCUAUUUAUUGAAAAGACGAAUGCAGAACGACGAAGUUCUGUGUUAAAGUGGCAGACGGCUCCUGUGUAGACACACACAAAUGUGAACAAAGCAGACUGGUAUUCCCUACCUUCUCCGUUUCCAUCUGCUACCACUGUGGCAAUUUACCUUUCCUUGUGAAGUUAAGAUGCAUAGACCCACCCCAACCUUCAGGAUGCACAGACCCAUUCCCAACCACACAUAAACUGGACAGCAAGGGGAACUGAGAAAGGAGUGGAGCUGGCACUGUUGUCCUCAGCAUUCAACUAUGUCCAUACAUUGGUACCGAGUCUGAGCUUUGCAAGGCUGUAAGAGAACUCACCAAUGUUUCUGCACCCAGAAGAUAUUUUUUCUAAAGGGAGAUUUUUCUGCAAUUGCAGAAAACUUUCCAACGUUAUGUCUGUAGUUUUCACUUACGGCAUCAAUGACUGAUUUUUGAAGAAUGUUUUUAGAUACAUAUGGUGUUAGAGUAACUUCCUAAGCACCUACCA